rnacentral:rRNA from 1 species
UACGGAGGGUGCAAGCGUUAAUCGGAAUCACUGGGCGUAAAGCGCACGUAGGCGGCCCGGUAAGUCAGGGGUGAAAUCCCACAGCCCAACUGUGGAACUGCCCUUGAUACUGCCGGGCUUGAGUACCGGAGAGGGUGGCGGAAUUCCAGGUGUAGGAGUGAAAUCCGUAGAUAUCUGGAGGAACACCGGUGGCGAAGGCGGCCGCCUGGACGGUAACUGACGCUGAGGUGCGAAAGCGUGGGUAGCAAACAGG